rnacentral:lncRNA from 1 species
CUCUCGUCCAGUGAGAGAUUUGGUUCUGGUGGCUGAGACGAGGCUCACAGCCUGGUGAAAAAGGUGGAUUGCGCCUCUCCCACCUCACAGCCCGAGGAGAGAUAGGAAAUGGCUUCUCAUGGCAGUAUCUUUAUAAUAGAGCCCAAGAGCUAUUCAUUUWCAGGAAGUUUUUGCAAAUCAAAUCAUUUUUGUAAUGAUUCUGUCUGUUAAUCAUCUAAUUUUUCUUGUUCGAUGGUGGUCUUUGAGUUUUUAGGAUAUUGUUCCUUAUUGCCCCUGACUCCAAGGUAUUUAGUGUUCAGCAGAUUGCUCCUUAUUGCCCCUGACUAUAAGGUAUUUAGUGUUCAGCAGAUUGCUCCUUAUUGCCCCUGACUAUAAGGUAUUUAGUGUUCAGCAGAUUGCUCCUUAUUGCCCCUGACUAUAGGUAUUUAGGGUUCAGCAGAUUGCUCCUAUUGCCCUGACUAUAAGGUAUU